rnacentral:pre_miRNA from 1 species
AGUGGGAUAGUUGGGUCAAAUGGUAGUUCCAUUCCAAGUUUUCUGAGGAAUCUCUAUAGUGCUUUCCAUAGUGGUUGUACCAAUUUGCUGUCCCAUCAGCGAU